rnacentral:rRNA from 1 species
GAUGAACGCUGGCGGCGUGCCUAAUACAUGCAAGUCGAACGAAAAGACGAGGUGCUUGCUCCUCUGACGUUAGCGGCGGACGGGUGAGUAACACGUGGAUAACCUACCGAUAAGACUGGGAUAACUUCGGGAAACCGGAUCUAAUACCGGAUAAUAUAUUGAACCGCAUGGUUCAUUAGUGAAAGACGGUUUUGCUGUCCCUUUGAGAUGGAUCCGCGCCGGAUUAGCUAGUUGGUAAGGUAACGGCUUACCAAGGCUACGAUGGGUAGCCGACCUGAGAGGACGAUCGGCCACACUGGAACUGAGACACGGCCCAGACUCCUACGGGAGGCAGCAGUGGGGAAUUUUGGGCAAUGGGCGAAAGCUUGACGCAGCAAUGCCGCGUGAGUGAUGAAGGCCUUCGGGUUGUAAAGCUCUUUUGGCGGGAACGAAAAAAAGUGUACCAAUACCUCGGCUCGAUGACGGUACCCGCAGAAAAAGCCCCGGCUAACUACGUG